GACGAAGGCGGGGGGGUGGCUUACAAAUUGCAAGUGAAACGGAAAGGCCUUUGGGGGUACCCGGGUGGGGAAGGGUGGAGAAAACGGGGGGGAAUUGGCCCGCCACUCGGGGAAAAGCCGGGAAAAUGGGGUCAAAUACGGGAAGGGCCGGGCCGGUCAAUCCCGGGGGGGGGAAGGAUUAAUCGGUGCAGGAUGGGCCCGCGGCCUAUCAGCUUGUUGGUGGGGUAAUGGCCUACCAAGGCGACGACGGGUAGCCGGCCUGAGAGGGCGACCGGCCACACUGGGACUGAGACACGGCCCAGACUCCUACGGGAGGCAGCAGUGGGGAAUAUUGCACAAUGGGCGCAAGCCUGAUGCAGCGACGCCGCGUGAGGGAUGACGGCCUUCGGGUUGUAAACCUCUUUCAGCAGGGACGAAGCGUGAGUGACGGUACCUGCAGAAGAAGCACCGGCCAACUACGUG
rnacentral:rRNA from 1 species